GUUGUGGGGAAUGUUGUUUGGAUCGAGGAUAUCAUAAACGCAUACACAUGUUUAUAUGUUAUGAUGCAUUAUAUGACUGAUGUAAUGUACAUAUAUAUACAUACAUGCCACAUGGUAUCGUCGGACCAGGCUUCAUCCCCCUCAAC
rnacentral:pre_miRNA from 14 species